GGGGACAGACAGGAGGGAGCUCCUCAGAGCCCAGGCCUGCUGCUGCUGCGCUGGGGUCCACCACCUUCCGGGAAAAUCUGGGGCCACCUCACUCCCCACCCCCCACCCCCCGCCAAAAAUUUGCCCAGGAUGCACUGGCAUGGGUGAUAAAAUAGGCCUGCGCUCCCUCUUUGUUGCCAAGCUCAGACGACGCUGCUGAAACCCAGCCCAGAGCCCCGCGAAGCCCGGAAACUUCCAGCUCCGCGACUGUGCGCAAAGUUGGGGUCGCGGAACCGGGGUGACAGCGGCGCCGCGGGGCCGGGUGCGGCGUGCCCCGGGGCCGGCGGCCUCUCGCGGCCUCGCUCGGCCCGGCCGCGCCUGGACCUCGGACCGUGCGCAGGCCGGACGUGAACUUGACUCCGGCGGGACCGCGGGGCACCGGGGGAUGACCUGGGUGACCCUCCGGAGUGGACCCCCAGCCGCCACCAGCGGCCCCCCACACCGUUCUCUGCUGGGAGGCUGCUGUGCCGAGGCAGCGUCAGUGCCACGUGUGGUGGACACCUGGACCCCAGUGUCCCCUUCACAGAAGGCCAUGAAUGGAAAAGGCCUGGGCCUGCCGGGGGCUGGACCGGUCACCGCCCUCGGCACCCUGGACAUUCCAGCAGGGGCCUCGAGUGGACAGUCUACAGAGAUCAGGCGGGGUGCAGUGCAGAGUUCGGGGGACGGUGGGAACAAAGAGCCCAGACCUGCCCUAAGAGGAGGCCUCGCGUCAACUCUGCCCAUAGUGUGUGCAGCAAGGAGAAGCAGGAGAGAAGGGGUCACAGAGUGGGGAGUAAGACAAACCGAGGACAGAAAGCUGGCCGCUGCCUGCGAGCAGGAAACUGGAAAGCAAGCGCCAGGUUCUGGAGGCCCCAGGCUCCUCGCUGGGGCUGGCUACAUCGGUGCGGUGAAAGUGAAAGUGUUAGUCGCUCGGUCGUGUCCGGCUCUUUGCCACCCUGUGGACUGCAGCCCGCCAGGCUCCUCUGUCCGCGGGAUUCUCCAGGCAAGAACACUGGAGUGGGUUGUCAUUGUCUUCUCCAGGGGACCUUCCCGACCCUGGCAUUGA
rnacentral:lncRNA from 1 species